GAUGAACGCUGGCGGCGUGCCUAAUACAUGCAAGUCGAGCGAACAGACGGGAAGCUUGUUCCUCUGACGAUAGCGGCGGGCGGGUGUGUAACACGUGUAUAACCUACCUAUAAGGCUGGGAUAACUUCGGGAAACCGGAUCUAAUACCGUAUAAGAUAUUGAACCAUAUGAUUCACUAAUAAAGUGCGAUUUUGUCGUUACUUAUAGAUGGAUCGGCGCGGCAGUAGCUAGUUGGGAAGGAACCGGCCUACAACGGCAACGCAGCGUAGCCGACCUGAGAGGGUGACGGCCCACACUGGAACUGAGACAGGGUCCAGACCCCAACGGGAGGCAGCAGUAGGGAAUCUUCGGCAUUGGGCGAAAGCUUGCCGGAGCAACGCGGCGUGGGGAAUGAAGGUUUUCGGUUCUUAAACCUCUGUUAUUAGGGAAAACCAAAUGUGUAAUUAACUAUGCACGUCUUGACGGUACCUAAUCAGAAAGCCACGGCUAACUACGUG
rnacentral:rRNA from 1 species